rnacentral:lncRNA from 1 species
AACCCAAAAUUUUUAUUUUUUCUUCAAUUUUCUUUUACUUCAGAAAAAAUUUGAAAAAGCUCUUUGAAAGCCCUCCCCUUCUCCGACCUAAGGUCCGGCCCGGCCUCUGGCGUAGCACUGCCGCGUACGGUGGCCGAUGGCUCAAAAUCGGAUCUUUUUGAUCUUAGUUCGAAGCCGAGUGUCUCUUAGGCACGGAUCUGGGGCCGAAUCUCGUGAAACAAAGGCCGAAGACCCGAAAAUAGGGCGAAACCGCUCGCCUUCCUCCCCCUCCGGCGCGGCGCAGGUAAGGUUUCCCCUCUCCCCCUUUUUUACUAUAUUUAUUUAAAAAUGUAAACGAAAAGAAAAGAGAACAAAAUAAAAAUAGAAUAAAUAACUUCAAAACUCAAAAGAAAAGAAAAAAAACCUUGAAUCUGUUUUUAUACUUUCCUUCGAUUGAUUCUUUUUUUUUAUACAAAAGUUACCAGAAGAGAAAAAAAUUACAUUUUUUGUUGGCUUUUAUAGCCGAUUUCUGCUACUGCUUGUGUCGUUUUUUCUUUGCAGAUGACCGGCGGCGCAAGUGGCAUGGUCGACGUGACUGUGGGCGGCGCGGAUGGGACGUACGCGGCGGCCAGCAGAGCUAGGGGGUAGAGGGCUGCGGCGCUAGGGUUUCUUUUCUGAAACCCUAGCUUGACUUUUGGGGAAUUGGGCUCCGAAUUUGGGCCUUGGGUUUGGGUUAGGCUAGUUGGGCUUAUUUUUGGGUCUGUUAUUGGGCUAUUCGGGUUUGAGUAGGUUAUUGGGCUGAGGUUUGCUGGGUUAGUAUUUGUUUAGGUUUUUUUUUGGGCAAAAUUGGGCUGUAC